rnacentral:lncRNA from 1 species
UAUCAAAUCCGUACGAGAUUGAAUUUUAGACCACUAGAGAUGUGUAAUAUACUAGAAUUUUGUAAUAGAAUUUGAAAGAAAUAAUGGAAAGAAUAGGAUUUCUUUAUUGAUUUGUAAUAGAAUUGAGAUUGUUACAAUGUAUUUCUAUAAUCGAACAACAUUGACGCCAUUGUUAUACCUGAAAUAAGGAGAAGAGAAAGUGGUUAGAAAUGAGAGAGAGAGAGAGAUAUAGGUAGAGAGAGAAUUGGUUAGGAGUUGUAACUGAAAUUUACCAGAAUUAGUCUCAUUCUUCCUUCCUUCUUCUGCGUAUUAAUACUCCUCACUUAAGCUGAAUUAUUAAUUGGGCUAUUUGUAAAUGGUCCUGCUCUAUUCUAUCUCCGUUGGCCCAGUAAUUGUAAGACCAAUUGAGCCCCAGAGCUUAAUCUGGUCCACUUAUGAUACAACCCUCAAUAUAGAAAUAAGGUCCCCAUAUAGAAAUAUCCGCCUACUUUCCUAAUUCAUUUCUUCAGACAUUACAAUCCCUACCUCUCCAAGAACGACCUUGUCCUCAAGGUCUUUGUUGAGCAACAAAAUCAGGAAAUCUGCUUUUGAUAUAUCUCCAAUCCUCCCAAGUGGCAUCAUCCUCCCUUAAAUUUGCCCAAUGAAUUAGAACUUUCACCCCCACACCAUUAUUUUCCUUCGCAAUACGCCUUUAAAGGAUUGCAACAGGUUGAAUCAAGAUUUAUCCUUCGUUAUCACAAAUUGGUGGCUGUGGCUGUGGAGUAAUGGAUGGACCAACACGCUUCUUCAACUGAGAGAUGUGAAAGACAAAAUGCAGCUGAGACCCUUUAGGAAGCUCUAACCGGUAAGCCACUGUUUUGAUUCUUUGCAUGACCUUGUAAGGUCCAUAAAAAUGAGCACAUAACUUGACAUUUCUCCUGACAUCGAUGGAAGACUGUCGAUAUGGCUGUAGCUUAAGGUAGACUAGAUUUCCAAUCUCCAAUACUCGGUCAGAUCUUAGCUUGUCAGCAUAGAACUUCAUUCUACAUUGAGCCUGUGUAAAAUUGUCUCGUAAGGACUGUAACAUCUGUUGUCUCUGAACUAAGCACUCUCGAGUUGACUGAUGACCAGUUUGUGGUAAGGACCCCAACGGAAGUUGUGGAGGAUCAUACCCAUAGAUUGCCUAAAAAAGUGUAGUCUUGAUGGAGUUGUGAUAGUUGGUGUUGUACCACCAUUCCACCGAGUGUAGCCAUUUUCCCCACUGCUUAGGAUUAUUGAAGACCAUAGCUCUCAAAUAAGUUUCCAUGCACCUGUUAAGUCGCUCUGUUUGUCCAUCAGAUUGAGGGUGGUAAGCAGUGCUCAUGUUGAGCUUAGUGCCCAAAGUUUUAAAGAGAUGUUGCCAGAAGUGGCUGGUGAAAAUAACAUCUCUGUUCGAGACAAUAGUCCUUGGCAAUCCAUGUAACCUGUAGAUUUCCUUAAGAAAUAAUUCAGAAACAUCUUGGGCUGUAUAGGGGUGUUUGAGUGCCAGGAAGUGCCCAUAUUUGGCUAAUCUAUCCACUACUACCAAGACUGCAUUUUUGUGCCCAAAAUUGGGUAGACCUUCUACAAAGUCUAAUGAUAUGUCUUGCCAAGCCUGUGUGGGUAUAUGGAGGGGUUGUAGAAGCCCAGGUGGGUGAAUGUUUUCUGAUUUAACUCUUUGACACACAUCACACUCACUUACCCAUUUGCAUUUCUCUGUCUUCAUGUUUGGCCAAUAGAACAUAGAUUGUAUUCUUCUAUAGGUGCCUUGUUGGCCUGAGUGCCCUCCAAUAGGUGACUGAUGCAAGACCUCCAAAAUCUUGGUUUUCAAAGUAGUGCUUCUUCCAAUGUAUAUCUUGUGUUUAUACCUUAUGGCCCCUUGUUGCAAUGAAUAAUCUGGAAUGUUGGAGGGAGAAAUUGAUAGUUCACUGAGUAGUUGUGAGGCUAAAGGGUUUGAUUCAUAGCUUUCACAUACUUCUUCAAUCCAUGUAGCCUGAGUGGUGGAAAGGGAUAAGAGUGUAGAGUCUUUCUCAUUUCUUCUGGAUAAAGCAUCUACUACCUUAUUUUCUACUCCCUUUUUUAUAUUGAACCUCAUAAUCCAAUCCCAUAAGCUUUGUUAGGCCCUUCUGUUGUAAUGCUGUAGUUACCUUCUGCUCUAGUAAGUACUUUAAACUCUGAUGGUUUGUCUUCACAAUGAAAUGUCCUCCUUGUAAGUAGUGUCUCCAUUUGUCUAUGGCUGAUAGCACAACCAUAUAUUCUUUCUCUUAGGUAGAAAGUCCUCUAUGUUUGAGAGCAAGAGCUUUACUAAAAUAGGCUAUAGGUCUGCCAGACUGCAUCAAUACAGCUCCUAUCCUAGUGGAGCAUGCAUCAGUCUCCACUAUAAAAGGCUUAGUGAAGUCAGCUAGAGCCAGGACUGGUACUGUUGCCAUGGCUUUUUUCAAUUGCUGAAAAGCCACUUCUGCUUCUUCAUUCCAUUGAAAUGCAUUUCUUUUGAGUAAGUUUGUUAAGGGUCUGCUAAUCACCCCAUAGGACUUAACAAAGCUCCUAUAGUAGCCUGUAAGCCCUAGGAAACCUCUAAGGGCCUUAAUAGAUUUAGGCACAGGCCAGGACAACAUAACUUUAAUUUUAGCAGGAUCAGUAGCUACCCCUCUUCCUGAAAUGAUAUGUCCUAGAUAUUCCACCUUGUCUUGCCCAAAUGAACAUUUGGACAAUUUGGCAUACAACUGCUCCUUCUGUAGAACUUCUAACACUGUUCUAAGAUGAGCAUGAGUUUCUAAUGUAGGACUGUAGAAUAAUAUAUCAUCAAAGAAUACCAACACAAACUUCCUCAAAAAUGGUUUGAAAACAUGAUUCAUUAGUCUUUGAAAAGUGGCAGGUGCAUUAGUCAAGCUAAAGGGCAUGGCCUUGAACUCAUAAUACCCUAAAUGAGUUCUAAAUACAGUUUUAAAAAUAUCACCCUCACUCAUUCUGAUUUGAUGAUAACCAGCCCUUAAGUCAAUCUUUGAAUAGAUGCAAGAACCAUUGAGUUCAUCCAUUAAAUCAUCUACCAGGGUAUAGGGAAUUUGUCCUUAACUGUAAUUUUGUUAAGCUCCCUAUAGUCAAUGCAAAAUCUCCAACUACCAUCUUUCUUUUUAACUAGAAGUACUGGUGAGGAGAAUGGGGAAUGACUAGGUUGGAUGAUUCCAUUUGUCAACAUUUCAUUAACUUGUUUCUCUAUUUCAUUCUUCUGAAAAUAGUUAUAUCUGUAGGGUCUGAUACUUACAGGUGCUGCAUCAGGCUUGAGGGGAAUAGAGUGAUCAUGAUCCCUCCUUGGUAGCAAGGACUUUGGCUCUGCAAACACCUUGAGAAAGUCCUGGAGUACUGAUCUGAUUUCUUCAGGUAAUUCUGCUGCCACUUCUACUUCUUUAGCUGAGAUUAAAAAUAAGUGUGCCCACAACACCUGUCCCUUCUUCAACCAUUGUUAACCCCAGAAGCAGUCAUGGCCUGUAGCUGGCCUUCUUCAAAAUAUCCCUUCAAUUCCACUCUUUUGCCAUUGACACUCACUUGGAGUCUAUAGCCAAUAAAAUCAAAUGAGACUGGAUUGUGCUUCCUUAUCCAGUCUACUCCCAAUACCAUGUCACAACCUCCCACAUCUAACAAUCUUAGCUUGUGCUCAAAUUCAAUACCAUGUAUUUUCCAUUUGAAUGAAAAGCAGAAAUGAUAGCUCAUCAAAUGACGGCCAUUAGCUGCAGUAACCCUCAUAGGUGCAUCUUUCUUAAUUACACACCCCAGCUGUUUUGCACAACUGCUAGCCAUAAAACUAUGAGUGCUGCCACUAUCAGCUAAAAUUAUCAACUUUUGUUUCCCAUACAUCCCUUUUAAUUUGAUGGUAUUAGAGGUCAUAGUUCCUAAUAAGGCAUUGAGGCUUAUGGCUUCAUCAAUUAUCUCCUCUUGCAUAUUCUCCACUUCUUCUAUUUCUUCUAUUCUCUGACUUUCCUCUAUUGCCUCCUGAUCAGUAGUACCAUGCAAAAUGUUCAAUUGCUUAUCCUUGCAUUGAUGACCUGGGAAGUAUUUCUCCCCACACCUAUAGCAUUCACCCAUGGUCUUUCUUGCUUCAAACAAUUUAUUACCAUAGAUGGUGGAAUUAGAAUAGCCCUCUUUCUGUAUAUUUCCUACUGUUCUGCCCCCUGUUGUCCUAGUAUGUGAAUUAUAUUGGGUUGACUGUCUUCCUGUACCCCCCUUUAUUCUUUUUAUUUAUUGAAUCCAACAUUUCCUCUUUAUGUCUAGCCUUUUCUACAGCUUGACUUAUGGAAAAUGGGUCAAGCAUUUUGACUGUAUGCCUGAUUUCUUCCUUAAGUCCUUCAAUGAAAAAUCCUAGAAAGAAUUCUUCAGGAAUGGUUGGGUGUUUGAUUAGUACCCAAGUCUUCAAAUCUUCAAACUUCUCUAGAUAUUCAUUCACAGUUCCCCUUUGCUCAAUUCUCUUAAAUUUUCCCAGUAGAUUUAGAUGACUAUUUUCGGAAUCAUUAAAUCUUUUACAAAUUUCCUCAACAAAAUCUGGCCAUCUCACCAUUCCUCUACUCAAUUGAUAGGAGAAAAACCAAGACUCAGCCCUCCCAUUUAAGUGAAGAACUGUAGUGUCUAAUUUUUGUUGCGGGUCAAUUAUACGAUUAUAAUGGAAGUACCUUUCACAUUUUCACAGCCAAGAUCUGGGAUCUCCCUCUUCAAAGUAAGGGCAAUCCACUUUAGCAGCAACACUGUUUGAGUCUAGAAGAAUUCUCCUGUGGUUCCAUCAUCCUCAUUUUGCUGCUCGAUCCAUCCAUUUGGUGAGCCUCAACUGGAGCACUACCAAGGAUUCCAUCCUUGCUCACGAACAACUUAUCCAUCAUGAUGUCAAAUUUGUGAUUUAGAUCAUCCAUUUUGGAAUCAGUGGAUUCCAAUUUCUUAUUUGUUUCUGCCAUGUAAUUGUGUAACUGGGUCUCCAGUUUUUGACAUUUUCUUCUGUGGAUUUGGCUUGAGUUUCUGGUGCUGUCAUGGUACCAGGAUUCAACUCUGAUACCAAUUGUAAUAUACUAGAAUUUGAAAGAAAUAAUGGAAAGAAUAGGAUUUCUUUAUUGAUUUGUAAUAGAAUUGAGAUUGUUACGAUGUAUUUCUAUAAUCGAACUACAUUGACGCCAUUGUUAUACCUGAAAGAAGGAGAAGAGAAAGUGGUUAGAAAUGAGAGAGAGAGAGAUAGGUAGAGAGAGAAUUGGUUAGGAGUUGUAACUGAAAUUUACCAGAAUUAGUCUCAUUCUUCCUUCCUUCUUCUGCGUAUUAAUACUCCUCACUUAAGCUGAAUUAUUAAUUGGGCUAUUUGUAAA